UGCCCGCUCUUUCCGGUCUGUCGCUGCCGCCCUCUGCGGAGGUGCCGUCACCGUGCUGCUCAUUGUCCCCGAAACACCCGGUGCUCCACGGAGCUGAUGGGCCGGGGCAUCCUCACCUCGCCCCGGAUCUGAACAUGUCACAAGCACAUCGCUCACCCUCCUGACACUGCUGUCCCAGGGAUUUUCCUUUUCCCAGGGUCCAGAACUCAUCAAAACAAGUGAGAAAAUGCUGUCGGCAUACGCAGCUGCGCAGCUCAUGGAAAGGUCCUGUUAAAAAAGAACUGUACUGUGAUAUUGGCUUUCACAUUAUAUAUUAGUUUCUGCAUUGAUCAUAAGUAUUUAGAUACAGUAUCAUAUAUACCUCUAAUUAGCUGUUAGUAUAAUGUAAUCUGCCAGUUUAAGUAUAUACUGCCUAGCUUAUAGAAAUAGUAGUGUGGUGAAUAUACAGUGUUAUUUGCCUUAGCUACACACUGGGUGUUAAAUACCUCUAUGUGACCAAAACAAAUGGUGUAAGGCGAUCUUGUUCCCCCCCUUCUCCGCUGACUGAGUUCUCCAAGUGAUAACUGUGACACAAACAAGAGCACUGGAGGACAAUUAGAAAAUACCAGGGUAAAUUUAAAGAGGACAUAGUAAAUCCUUAUCAGAGGAUGUAAAACAGCAGGAUGAAGACAGAAGGAGGAAUAAAAAAUAUUAACCUGACACACAGGAUGUCAUGCAGAUAAGCCAGAGUAUGAAGAGCCCAAGCAGAAGAAUUUCUGGAGCAUCAAACAGUUCACAAGAAUGUUUGAGUAACGUAUGGACUGCAUGAAUAUGCAGGCACCUAUAUGGGGACUACUGGUGUGCUCUCUGGCUGUUUGCCAGGAGAACCCCAGCACUGGACAUCUGUCUCAUAUUUUAUUCCCUACUAAUAUAUAUUUUUUUAAAUUCUGUAGUGUCAUUCUGUUUUCCACAGUCCUCGCUGGACAAGUGACACAAAUGGCACAGGAAGCAUUUUAGCCAAACCAAGUGGCAAAAAACCACAUUUGGGGCAGAGAGAGGCUGAACCCCUGUAAGGAAAUCCACUGAAACAAACAAAGUGAUGGAAAUCCAGGGUUUGGCUGUGUCCACCACCUUCUGAAAUGGUUCAUUUAGACAGCACAGCACUCACAGAGAACCAACCCCGCAAGAGUCACAGCAUGAUUCCACUCAUCCCAAAAUCCUGGACAAUGGCAUCAGGUCCGUGUCCUAUCCCAGAGUUGUCUUCCAGCAGUUUUCAGUCCCACUGUGGCAAGACAAGAGAAAUGAAAAGGAUUCAAGUCUUGAACAUCAGAUUGUGGCAAAAAUGGGUUCUUUUAGGAAGAGUGGACAUACACAGGGGAUUGGAGAACCUGCUUGGCAACACCUCUUUUCCACAUGGGCUGUGCAAGCAAUUACUUAAUAUUCCAAUACUUCCACUUGGAGGCACACCCUGCUGUUUCACAGAACUUUCAUUUGCAGCUGGCAGGCAACUGUCAUUUAAUUCCUACCUCUUAACCUGGAAUUAGUUUUAUUUCUGCCCUCUGUACUGUCUUGUCCUUAACCAUUUUCCUAGGCAGGAUUAUAAACUGUACUUGGAAUUAACACACUUGCUCCAACCUGAGGAACUCCAAUCAACACCUUGGCCUUGGCUUUCUGAAUUCACAUCCCAGUGACGUGACUUCGGGCAGUCUAAAGUUUUACAAUUUGAUUUACUCCACACAAUUUCUAAGCAACAUGUUCUGCACAUUCCUUUCCUCCCUCACAAGUAUUUUUUACCUGCCUAAGACAAAGGUGGCUGAGGUAAGUCACAGAUUCCAGGUAAAAACCACCAACUACUGCAGGAGGACAAUGAACUGUGCACAGAUUUUAUUCACAGCUCUGUAAUGUGAGCUCUAAGACUGAACACAACUCAGCCAGAAAGGACCAGGCAGUUGGCUGCUGUGCCCUGGUGGGGCUGGGCUGGACCCAAACUGCAUCCCUGGGGAGGCCAUGAGCCCAACCCUGCAGCCUGUCACCGAGCACUUCUCAGUUCCCUGUCAAACAAAAAACACAGGAAAACGCACAAUCAUUUCUUCCAACUACAAAAACCACUGCAAUGCCUUUCAGGAGCCAGAAUGUUUAGUCGGUUCUUAUUUGCCAUUCUCGAGGUAUUUCAGCGAUAAAUUCCCUGACAUUGCUAAGAGCUGAGCAGCUCCUAAGUGGGAGGGUUACCAGUUAUAUUUUUCUAACAGUAGCUCAAAACUUAAGCAGUUUCAGCAUCCACCAGCCUGAAGCCAGUGGAUUUCAGGCAUCUUGCAUGGAUUUUUUAUAACUGAAAUGAAAAUUCCCCCUGCAGUCUUAAAUACAUAGCUAUCUUCUGCCACUUGACUCUACUGAAAAGCUUUCUGCUAAUAUAUACCAUAUUUCUCUAACAGAGGGAAAAUUAUAUUCUUAAUUUGCACAUUAUCUAUCACCACAUUGGUUAUUGCAGUAUUUUUCUACGCCAGCCUCUCGGUACCAGGUCAUACAUCAGCAGGAUUUCAAGACUUGGGCUUUUCAGGGGAUUUUUUUGCCCAAGUUCCAAGUCAGAUGCAGCAUGUGCUGUUCUGGUGCAUCUCCUCAGGGGAUUGCAGCCCGUGCCCCAGCACUGCAGGAGCGGGGGCAGUUGAAGCUGCUCCUUCCCCACCGUGCCCUCUGCGAGGCUGAAGCACUGCUCAGUCCUGGCCCCCGGGAAGCAUAGCAAGAUGCCCUUUGGCAGCCCAGGCCUUCCCGAGGGGCCAUUCCCGGGGGGAUCCAAGGGGCCAUCCCAUCAGACUGCAGUCUCUGCUUUUUUAACACUUCCACUGCCAAGGUGCUGCCGUAUCAGGUUGCUCUCUCUUGGGUACCUGAGAGGGAGAAUGCAUUGAAAUUACCUCUGCAAACCUUCAACCAAACUGCAACCAGCAGGGCAAAUGGCAAUGAAAACUUUCCCAAGGCAGGCAAGUUUAAUAUCUUCUAAACAUUUCCUGGACACUGAUUCGACAUGAUUAUCAGCCCAUCAUCCAGUAACAAAUCGAUGGCUGCUGCAGCCUCUUAGUGCUCUUGGACUCAGAGGCUCACAAAUAUGGGAGUCCCUCUGGCUUGUACCUGUGGGGCAUUCUGAGCUACUGCCAGGGGGAUCUAUCCUGUCAUUGACCUCAAGUUCAACAGGGACAUCUGGCACUGAUGUGGCUUAAAUGCUACAGAACAGAAAUAGUACAUUGUGUACACUGCAUUUAUCCUUUCCAAGGGAAAACACAGCAGCAAGUACAAACUGAGCCAGUUGAAGGCUCAGAAAGCAAACAGGAAACAAAAUAAAGAGAAGUUACCCUCAGGGACCUCCUCUGUGCGUAAUCAGUAUUAAUUCUGGAAGCUUUAAGAGCAAAAGGAUAGGGAAAGGAUUGUAAACCCUCCCAAUCCUGUCAGCCUUCCAUCACAGUGCUCUACCUGCACUCUGCAUACCUGUAUGUUCUCCUCAUGAGCCUGGCUACAGUUGUGCAGAUUGCCCUGGACUCUGGGACACCUCAUUUUGUGUCUGUUUACCUUGACUUUGUCUGUUGAAUCUCCUGCUUCUCCUCUUCGUUUACUCUGUGCAGAAUCGACUCCAAAAAGGGAAUAU